GGUAGUCCACGCCGUAAACGAUGUCUACUAGUUGUCGGGACUUAAUUGUCUUGGUAACGCAGCUAACGCGUGAAGUAGACCGCCUGGGGAGUACGGUCGCAAGAUUAAAACUCAAAGGAAUUGACGGGGACCCGCACAAGCGGUGGAUGAUGUGGAUUAAUUCGAUGCAACGCGAAAAACCUUACCUACCCUUGACAUGGCAGGAAUCCUGAAGAGAUUUAGGAGUGCUCGCAAGAGAACCUGCACACAGGUGCUGCAUGGCUGUCGUCAGCUCGUGUCGUGAGAUGUUGGGUUAAGUCCCGCAACGAGCGCAACCCUUGUCAUUAGUUGCUACGAAAGGGCACUCUAAUGAGACUGCCGGUGACAAACCGGAGGAAGGUGGGGAUGACGUCAAGUCCUCAUGGCCCUUAUGGGUAGGGCUUCACACGUCAUACAAUGGUACAUACAGAGGGCUGCCAACCCGCGAGGGGGAGCUAAUCCCAGAAAGUGUAUCGUAGUCCGGAUUGUAGUCUGCAACUCGACUACAUGAAGUUGGAAUCGCUAGUAAUCGCGGAUCAGCAUGUCGCGGUGAAUACGUUCCCGGGUCUUGUACACACCGCCCGUCACACCAUGGGAGCGGGUUCUGCCAGAAGUAGGUAGCUUAACCGUAAGGAGGGCGCUUACCACGGCAGGGUUCGUGACUGGGGUGAAGUCGUAACAAGGUAACC
rnacentral:rRNA from 1 species